GGGGAAUAUUGCACAAUGGGCGCAAGCCUGAUGCAGCGACGCCGCGUGAGGGAUGACGGCCUUCGGGUUGUAAACCUCUUUCAGUACAGACGAAGCGCAAGUGACGGUAUGUACAGAAGAAGCACCGGCCAACUACGUGCCAGCAGCCGCGGUAAUACGUAGGGUGCGAGCGUUGUCCGGAAUUACUGGGCGUAAAGAGCUCGUAGGUGGUUUGUCGCGUUGUUCGUGAAAACCUGAGGCUUAACCUCGGGCGUGCGGGCGAUACGGGCAGACUUGAGUACUGCAGGGGAGACUGGAAUUCCUGGUGUAGCGGUGGAAUGCGCAGAUAUCAGGAGGAACACCGGUGGCGAAGGCGGGUCUCUGGGCAGUAACUGACGCUGAGGAGCGAAAGCGUGGGGAGCGAAC
rnacentral:rRNA from 1 species